AACGCACAUUGCGCCCGCUAGUAUUCUGGCGGGCAUGCCUGUCCGAGCGUCAUUUCAACCCUCAGGCCCUGGUUGCCUGGUGUUGGGGCGCCGCGUCCCCCAGCGGGCGCGGGCCCCGAAAGUCAGUGGCGGGCUCGCCAGGACUCCGAGCGCAGUAGUUUACACCUCGCUGCGGAGGGCCUGGCGGGUUUUACCCAGCCGUAAAACACCCCAAAUCUUAAAGGUUGACCUCGGAUCAGGUAGGAAUACCCGCUGAACUUAA
rnacentral:misc_RNA from 1 species